GACGAACGCUGGCGGCGUGCUUAACACAUGCAAGUCGAACGGAAAGGCCCUGCUUUUGUGGGGUGCUCGAGUGGCGAACGGGUGAGUAACACGUGAGUAACCUGCCCUUGACUUUGGGAUAACUUCAGGAAACUGGGGCUAAUACCGGAUAGGAGCUCCUGCUGCAUGGUGGGGGUUGGAAAGUUUCGGCGGUUGGGGAUGGACUCGCGGCUUAUCAGCUUGUUGGUGGGGUAGUGGCUUACCAAGGCUUUGACGGGUAGCCGGCCUGAGAGGGUGACCGGCGACAAUGGGACUGAGAGACGGCCCAGACUCCUACGGGAGGCAGCAGUGGGGAAUAUUGCACAAUGGGAGGAAGCCUGAUGAAGAAACGCCGCGUGCGGGAUGACGGCCUUCGGGUUGUAAACCGCUUUCGCCUGUGACGAAGCGUGAGUGACGGUAAUGGGUAAAGAAGCACCGGCUAACUACGUG
rnacentral:rRNA from 1 species